rnacentral:rRNA from 1 species
UACGAAGGGGGCGAGCGUUGUUCGGAUUUACUGGGCGUAAAGGGCGCGCAGGCGGCUCAUUUUGUCAGGCGUGAAAGCCCCGGGCUUAACCUGGGACUGCGUUUGAUACGGAUGGGCUAGAGUUCGGGAGAGGAGCGUGGAAUUCCCAGUGUAGAGGUGAAAUUCGUAGAUAUUGGGAAGAACACCGGUGGCGAAGGCGGCGCUCUGGACCGAGACUGACGCUGAGGCGCGAAAGCGUGGGGAGCAAACAGG